rnacentral:rRNA from 1 species
UGUCUGAAGAUCGGAGGACCACCUUCGAAGGCUAAGUACUCCUUACUGACCGAUAGUGAACCAGUACCGUGAGGGAAAGGCGAAAAGAACCCCUGUGAGGGGAGUGAAAUAGAUCCUGAAACCGUAUGCGUACAAGCAGUCGGAGCGGACUUGUUCCGUGACGGCGUACCUUUUGUAUAAUGGGUCAGCGACUUAUGUUCAGUGGCGAGGUUAACCGUUUAGGGGAGCCGUAGGGAAACCGAGUCUGAAUAGGGCGAUUUAGUCGCUGGGCAUAGACCCGAAACCGGGCGAUCUAUCCAUGAGCAGGUUGAAGGUGCCGUAACAGGCACUGGAGGACCGAACCCACUG